rnacentral:rRNA from 1 species
UACGUAGGUCCCGAGCGUUAUCCGGAUUUAUUGGGCGUAAAGCGUCCGUAGCCGGUUUUGUAAGUCUGUGUUCAAAUACCUUGGCUCAACCAAGGAAAGGGCAUAGAUACUGCAUGACUAGAGACCGUUAGAGGUUAGUGGAAUUUCCGGUGGAGCGGUGAAAUGCGUUGAUAUCGGAAGGAACGCCAAAAGCGAAAGCAGCUAACUAUAACGAAUCUGACGGUAAGGGACGAAAGUAUGGGUAGCAAACGGG